CAAAGGUUCAGAGCUACAGCUGGAAAGUGAUCAUUGGCGUGAGGCGUCUGGACCUUUGGAAGAUUAUUUCCCUGAGUGGCAAGGAAUCCCAUCCAGGACACCACAUUACCUUCACUCAUCAUAUCUCCUGAGGCUCCUCCCAGCUGUGGCAGCUUCUCAGAUUUUCCUUGCUCUUCGUGACUUGGACAGUUGUGAGGAGUAGCGCUCAGCGCCUCCCAGCUUUGCAUCUGGGACUUCCCGACACCUGCUUAUGUGGGCUCUGCCAUCUCCCACAGGCUGGCAACGCGUUCCGCAUCAUUCCACUGUUCUCUCGGAACGAUAGGUUCUGGAGGCUGGGAAAUCUGAGAUCAAGAUGCCAGCCAGAUUCCGUGUCCAGUAAGAGCUCACUCUCUGCUUCCAAUGUCUGCGUUCUACUUAUGUCUUCAUAUGGAAGAAGGGCAGAAGACUCCCUCAAGCCUUUUUUUUCAGCUGUAUUUUAUUUUAUUUUUGGU